CUGCACUAUAUCUUCGGAAGCAUCCUGAUCCUCCACUUAUAUCUUCGGAAGUAUCCUGAUCUCCAGAAACGUCCUGAUGUAUCCUCAUCUUUGCAGAGAAUAAAACAACGAGAACGACGCGGAAAUAUUUACCAACGAGAGAAGGACGCGCAUUUAAUUUAAAAAAAUGAUUGCUUCAACUAACGAAUGUCUACGCAAAGUAAUGGGAGGAGAAGAGAGAAGCUGGCUCGACACUUUGUGCAUGAAAAGGAGAGGGAGACAUAAAAAAGCAUAAUUGGACGCCGAUGGAAUAACCUUGCAAAAUCAAGUAGACGCAAUGGAAACUUAUUUAAGGACUAUAGACAGGAUGAAGGCCUGAAAAACAGGAAGUCCUUUGGGAAUUUUCUAAAUAUAUAAUAAAAU